AUUGAACGCUGGCGGCAGGCCUAACACAUGCAAGUCGAGCGGAUGAAGGGAGCUUGCUCCUGGAUUCAGCGGCGGACGGGUGAGUUAUGCCUAGGAAUCUGCCUGGUUGUGGGGGAUAACGUCCGGAAACGGGCGCUAAUACCGCAUACGUCACGAGGGAGAACGUGGGGGAUCUUGGGACCUCACGCUAUCAGAUGAGCCUAGGUCGGAUUAGCUAGUUGGUGGGGUAAAGGCCUACCAAGGCGACGAUCCGUAACUGGUCUGAGAGGAUGAUCAGUCACACUGGAACUGAGACACGGUCCAGACUCCUACGGGAGGCAGCAGUGGGGAAUAUUGGACAAUGGGCGAAAGCCUGAUCCAGCCAUGCCGCGUGUGUGAAGAAGGUCUUCGGAUUGUAAAGCACUUUUAGUUGGGAGGAAGGGCAGUAAGUUAAUACCUUGCGGUUUUGACGUUACCAACAGAAUAAGCACCGGCUAACUACGUG
rnacentral:rRNA from 1 species